rnacentral:tRNA from 1 species
GGGCGUGUAGCUCAGUGGUGGAGCAUGUCUCUUAUAAAGACAAGGUCCGUGGUUCGAAUCCACGCACGCCCA